AACGAACGCUGGCGGCAGGCCUAACACAUGCAAGUCGAGCGGGGGAGCAAUCCCUAGCGGCGGACGGGUUAGUAACGCGUGGGAACAUACCCUUUGGUACGGAAUAGCCUCGGGAAACUGAGAGUAAUACCGUAUGUGCCCUUCGGGGGAAAGAUUUAUCGCCAAAGGAUUGGCCCGCGUUGGAUUAGGUAGUUGGUGGGGUAAUGGCCUACCAAGCCUACGAUCCAUAGCUGGUUUGAGAGGAUGAUCAGCAACACUGGGACUGAGACACGGCCCAGACUCCUACGGGAGGCAGCAGUGGGGAAUCUUAGACAAUGGGCGCAAGCCUGAUCUAGCCAUGCCGCGUGAUCGAUGAAGGCCUUUAGGGUUGUAAAGAUCUUUCAGUGGGGAAGAUAAUGACGGUAACCGGAGAAGAAGCCCGGCUAACUUCGUGCCAGCAGCCGCGGUAAUGUGACUACUG
rnacentral:rRNA from 1 species